rnacentral:rRNA from 1 species
AGCGAACGCUGGCGGCAGGCUUAACACAUGCAAGUCGAGCGGGCAUCCUUGUGGUGUCAGCGGCAGACGGGUGAGUAACGCGUGGGAACGUGCCCUUCGGUUCGGAAUAACUCAGGGAAACUUGAGCUAAUACCGGAUACGUGCGAGAGCAGAAAGGUUUAUCUGCCGAAGGAUCGGCCCGCGUCUGAUUAGCUAGUUGGUGAGGUUAUGGCUCACCAAGGCGACGAUCAGUAGCUGGUCUGAGAGGCUGAGCAGCCACACUGGGACUGAGACACGGCCCAGACUCCUACGGGAGGCAGCAGUGGGGAAUAUUGGACAAUGGGGGCAACCCUGAUCCAGCCAUGCCGCGUGAGUGAUGACGGCCUUAGGGUUGUAAAGCUCUUUUCUCCGGGACGAUAAUGACGGUACCGGAGGAAUAAGCCCCGGCUAACUUCGUG